AGCCUUCUUCUGGAAAAAAAAAAAAGUGAAGAGAGAAGAGUCACCAACCACCCCCUCCACGCUGAGGGACACUGACGAGCAAACCAGAGGAGGGAUGAGCAGGACCACGUCGGAAAAGAUGUCAGAAGGCUGGCCAAAACCAGCCAAAGCCCCGAGACUGCUCAUGGUUUCACCCUGGUUAAUACAGGAUGAUGCCUUGCUCCUUGCAGGAGCUCCUUGCACAACCAGCUUAGCUGCAGGAGCGCAGAGAUAAGAGCAGGGCUUGAGAACCAGCUCCGAAGAGCCGUAGAAAUCACAGGCACACAAGAGAGAAAAUCUCUAUUAAAGUCAGGGCAUAAUUAUAACUCACUCAUUGGCCAGGGGCUUUGCAGCCCGAGUUGCUGGAGAUCGCCCUGCCCUCCCCCAGGAGCGCCCUGGAUCUGCCAGAGCUUUGAAGCAAGAGCGAAGGUGCCUGAGCCCCCGACUGCUCAACACAGAAGCGGAGAUAAUUCCCUGGGUGGGGGUGAAGAGAUGAGUUUCGGCCCAGCAAGGGAUUUCUCGGGAGCCUGCCUGGGGAAGGAAGUGCAGAGUGGGCAGUUUUCAACCCAGCGUCCUUUGGUCUAGCUCCACUCACUCAAGAAAAGGGGAUGCUUCUUAAACCCUCUGGAAAGACCCUGAUAUCAGGGGCUCCUUGGCGAGGACCUGUCAGGUAUAAGAGCACGCAGGACCCCCUGGCAGCCGGUGGGAGCCGUCCGGGCGAAGCGGGGACCCCCGGGGUCCCCCGGCAGGAGCGUGCAGCAGCCGGGGACAGCGCGGGAGGCAGAGGGAGAAAGGCUAAGGCUGCAGCGCUCGGAUGCCUCGCUCCUCCUGCACCCGCCGAGUCUGGACGUCGCUCCCUGCCCGCUCCUUCCACACCCCCAGCUCGGCUGGGAUCGGGAUGCCCGCACCUGGAGCCGAGCUCAGUCCCUGCUGCGGUACGUAAAACACGACGCUAAGGGCAACCUUCUGCGUAUCAGCAACGCAAGAACAUGGUGCAAAACCGGAGAGGAUUUUUCUGCUAAAGGGCAGAGCAAAAAUAGAGAAUAAAAGCGCAGAGGGCCAGACAACGCGCUGCCCACAGGUGCAUUUCUGCACCGUUACUGGCCGCUGAUGCAGGCAAGACUCUGGCUUUUGAUGCAGUUUAAUAUUUUUGUACUUAAUGCCGUGGUUUGUGUAACGACUGCCUCAGUUGAAGGGCACACAUCCUGCGCCGGCAGCUCUGCAGAUGGGGCUGGGACCGAGGGGGUUUCCAGCAGUCCUUGCACACCGUUCAUUUCCUAGUUGGCUUUUUUCUCACUCUUUAAAAAUACCUGGUGUGUCGUGUGUGCCUUCCUCUGGAAAGCACCUUUCUGCAUCACCCAGGACCGGUGGGACGAGGCUGGAAAGGGGCCUGGGGAGCAAGGGGCACCCCUGCAGCGUGUGUCCCCCAAAAGCCCUGCCUGGGAGUCAUCCCAGGUUGCUGAAAGAUCUUAAAGAUCUUUAAAAAAGCUAAAAGUAUUCCAUGGCCACGCUUUGCAGGUUGCAAAAACAUCAGAGUCCAUCAGCGCUGGUAAGGCUCUGCGCUGGGGACACGUCCUUGGAAAAAUAAAACCUCUUGAAGAGCGGCCCAAGUGGGGCAAGCCCUGAUUAGGGAGCAAAAAUAUCAUUAGUCAUUUCUGAAAGCGCUCACGGAGGCUUUUUGUCUUCUUUGGCUUCACUAUUAUUCAAAAUAUUUUGCUUUUCAUUUGGUGCCUGUGUUAUUUUUGUUUGGCAAGCGGUCUCGCUUAUUUUAUUUGAAUAUCCUUUGUGGUGGGCAAUCUCUACGCAGAGGGUGACUCGUUGUGGAGCAGAACUGAAGAUGAAAUAGGGAAAUUUUAUGUCCUCUCCCUCUGGUCACGGUUCCCCUUAGUGGAAAUAGGACCCACAUGGAUUUUAGAAUGAAGAAUAUAACCAGAGCCAGUCAGGGCAUCGACACUGAGCAGGCUUCAUCGUUACCCAUGACGACCCUUUGAUGAAGUUUUAAUCCAGCGGACACAAGCUGAACCCAGAAACGUCCUCUGGUGCGCCAGCACCGGAGCAGGAUCAGGCCUUUGAAACGACUUGAGCUUUGGAGGAAGGGAUACCCGCAGCCCGGGCGGCAUCGCUUCCUCGUGCCCUCCCUCCGGCUCGGCAGCCGCCGGGGGAGCCGGCUUUGGGAGUGCUGCCGCAUCGCCGCCGCUCUCACGCGCCUGUCCCACCUUUAUGCUAUUUUGUUAAGGCCGUGUUGUUGUUGGCGUACAACUCGAGUGACUUUGAGGAAGGAUUUUUUUCUCUUUCCUCCUUACUUGAAUGGCUCCUUUGAAAGGCAGCGCCUCUCCAUUUACAUCCCCGCUGUCCGGAUUGAAUCAAUCUUGUGGUCAGCUUCAGGAGGGGGAAAAAAAAAGAAGAAAAAAGCCUCACAAAGAGGGAAAAUUGACAGGUCCGACCAUCGGUGUGAUUGAUAGCGGUUGGAGAAGCGUCGGGCUGCGCCGGGGCGGUGCUGGGGAAAUCCAGCAAAGCCUUUUUUUCCCAGAACCCGGAGCAGACGGGCUUGGUGAGGGGUGGCCGUGUGAACUUCAUAAUAGCAACAUUGUUGGAACACAAAGCAUCUGUCAGGAGUUAAUAUGAUUAAUUAGAGAUGUCUGUCUCUCUCCCUCUUUCCCCUCUCCCUCUCUGGGUAGGCAGGAGGGACCUGAAACCCAAACCCAGGGAGGGCAGAGGUGGGUCCGUGCGUGGCACUGGCCGGAGCGGGCACCCAGCCCCAGCCCCAGGAAAGCCAGUUCCUCCCCACCAGCCCCGGCUCUGCCGCAAGCAGUCGCCGUGUGACCUGCUAUUGGCAAAUGAUACGCCUUCAGCCAGAGGUACCUAAAGGAAAACACGAAAAUGUCAAACAUCCAGAGUCAUAAACAUGCCGGUGGCACACCACGCCAGCCAGAGGGAUGGGUUACCGGGCUCUCAGGAGGGAAUUUGUUCCAGAUAAGUCUUGAUUUUAGCAGCGCAGCGGUGACGUCACCCCAGUGCACUGAACACUCAUUCCUCCGCUUUUCGGUACCCGACCCGGCAGAUGGGUUCAGCGUGUGCAGUGCGACAGGCGGGUGCCUUGCGCUGCCGGUGGAGCAUCCUUCCAGCUCCUCACCUUCCUUUCCUAAAGGCGCCUCGUCGUUUUUCACCAGGCCUAAGGUUUUCAGCACUCACCCCACCCCAGCCCUCAGAACUCUCUCCCGUGACCCCACAUCCCCACCCCUUUGCGCAUCUCUCCCCCAGCCCCCGUUCUCCCACCAACCCCGCGCCCAGGGGAGCAACUCCCCGCCGCACUGGGACCCCGCAGCUGCCUCACGCUGGACGUCGCGCCAGGCUGGGCGAGGCGGGGUAAAGCUCCCAGAUUUAUCCCUGUGCCUCGGCUCCUCGUGGCAAGAGCCUGGCUGAUCUCGGUGGGAUGGUGGUUUUCAGCUCCCGCCCUCCCCGAUUGUGGAGCCCCAGGGGUUUGUGAAUGUAAUUCAAAGACGGCUGGAAAAGGUAACUAGAAAUAGGAAGUUAAUUGUUAGGAAGCUUAAUUAGUUAUAGAGUGGUCUGCACUGGCACUGGCAAUUUUAAGACUCUGCAAACCAAAGACAGUAGAAAACCUGUGAAGGAAAGGAGUAUUGUAGGUACGUAAGGGCAUGGCCCCUUUUUGUGGGACGCGGGUUAAGAUCGGCCGCACUCGCUGCGUUGCAGGUGCGCUGGGCUCACACCCGCAUAUUUAUGGAUGGUGUGAAAUGGUCUGUUUGGUCACUACCCCAAGAACAGAAAAUGCUCUGUGAUAGCCAGCUGCUGCUGCUGUUAACAUAAUUUAAAUGCUGGCGACUGCAAUACCUGCAAAAUA